GCUGAGUAAGGGCUCUCAUUUCUGAAUCAUGCAACAGACAAGCAUUGGGGACCUAUUCUCUGAAUGACACUGUCCCAGGUGUUGGGAGAACACAAAGCUGAAUAUGAUACUAAUUUUUCUGAGAUCAUUUACUUUGCAAUGAGGAAACCACAAGUCAGUACUACAGCAGAAGGUAAAACACAAUCUAUAUCAAAAGAGGUCAAACAUCUUACAGUUGAAGCACAAUAAGGAGGAACUGUUUCUGACCACAGCAGCCAAAAGUCUCCAUAAAUCAGUGGCGUUUGCACAUGGGAAUUUUAGAAACAUCAUGGGGAACGGAGGUAUGAAUGUGCAUGCUCUGCAGUGAGGAGAGAGAAUGCUAGUGGUGAAAUUAAUAAAAUGGGGUGGAAAGUGAGGCCAGAACAGUUUGGGACUAGAUCACAGAGGUCUUAAGUGUCAUUUUAAUGCAUUGUAACUUUAUGCAGCAGGCUGUCAGCCCCUGAAGACUGUGAUGGAGGGAAGAAAUGUCAAUUGACCUAGGUUUUAGGAAGAUAACUGGGGCAGCCAUGUGAAUGACAGAUUUGAAGAUCUGGUUAAUGAGGAAUAGCUGGAUAUUCCAGAAACAAGUCUCUGGGGAUGUGAUAUUUACAGAGAUGACAAUGAGCAAGCCUUCUCCAGACAAAGAGUUACAAGACAAAGUUCUGAAGCCAAACAGAGCUUGGCAUGUGAGUGAAACCAAAGAGUUCAAUAUGGCUGGAGAAAAGUCUCAGCGGAGAGGAACUGGAGAUAAAGAUGAGUGAAAACAAAGGUAAUGCAAAGCUCUCUAGACACAGUAAGAGGUUCAGACCUCAUGAAAAGCAACAGAAGUCAUGCAAAGGCUUUACAUCUGGAAGUUACAAAAUCUAAUCCCCAUUUUAGACAACCAUGCUCUUCUGCUUUGGGGAGAGUAAGGCUGUAGGGAGACAAGAAUGAAAAUGAAUAACCCAUGUGAAAGGCAAUUCUGCCAAUCCAGAGGGACACUGCCUAUGAUGCUGAGGAGAAGUGGGUAGAUUCAGGCUAUAUUUUGAAGGAAGUCUUCACAGGAAUUGAUACGGACAAGAGGCAGGGAAAAUACUGGGUAGAAGAGGGCGGUUCCCGACAAAGGCCCCACCCUUAAGCCUGGAAUCCGGGUCCCUAAAGGAGAAGACUUAUCCCUGUUUUCCUGCCCAAAUGUUACUUUUUUGACCUUCCACCCCGCGCCCAUCCUGUGCCCAUAUAAACCCGACAUCAGCCGGCAGAGAGACAAGCGGCUGCCAUGGAGAGAAAAAGCAACUGAGCAUUGGAAACUACAGACAGUCUCAACUUAACUUCAGACAGCACUUCAGAAUGGAGUCUGGCCCGAGAAGGCCAGGCUUCAGGGAAAGGUCACCUCCUCCCCACACCAUAGCCUUUCCAGCUCCCCUUCCACUGACAGCCAUUUCCACCGCUUAAUAAAAUCCUCCGCAUUCAUCACCUUUCAAACCAAUCAUUCGACCUAAUUCUUCCUGGACGCCGAACAAGAACCCGGAUACCAAGAGGGCAAGGUGUAAAACCAAGAGGGCAAGGGGUAAAAGGCUGUCGCCUCGUCUCCUCACCGAGCUGGUUAACACUUAGCCGUCAGUGGAUGGCA
rnacentral:lncRNA from 1 species